rnacentral:rRNA from 1 species
UACAGAGGGGGCCAGCGUUGUCCGGAUUUAUUGGGCGUAAAGAGCGUGUAGGCGGCCGUACAGGUCAGCUGUGAAAACUCGAGGCUCAACCUCGAGACGUCGGUUGAAACCGUACGGCUAGAGUCCGGAAGAGGAGAGUGGAAUUCCCGGUGUAGCGGUGAAAUGCGCAGAUAUCGGGAAGAACACCCGUGGCGAAGGCGGCUCUCUGGGACGGUACUGACGCUGAGACGCGAAAGCGUGGGGAGCGAACAGG